rnacentral:tRNA from 1 species
UUGGGAAUUGGCCAAGCGGUAAGGCAAAGGACUCUGAAUCCUUGAUCACUGGUUCGAACCCAGUAUUCCCAAUC